rnacentral:rRNA from 1 species
CCUACGGGAGGCAGCAGUGGGGAAUAUUGCACAAUGGGGGAAACCCUGAUGCAGCCAUGCCGCGUGUGUGAAGAAGGCCUUCGGGUUGUAAAGCACUUUCAGCGAGGAGGAAAGGUUGGCGCCUAAUACGUGUCAACUGUGACGUUACUCGCAGAAGAAGCACCGGCUAACUCCGUGCCAGCAGCCGCGGUAAUACGGAGGGUGCAAGCGUUAAUCGGAAUUACUGGGCGUAAAGCGCACGCAGGCGGUUGGAUAAGUUAGAUGUGAAAGCCCCGGGCUCAACCUGGGAAUUGCAUUUAAAACUGUCCAGCUAGAGUCUUGUAGAGGGGGGUAGAAUUCCAGGUGUAGCGGUGAAAUGCGUAGAGAUCUGGAGGAAUACCGGUGGCGAAGGCGGCCCCCUGGACAAAGACUGACGCUCAGGUGCGAAAGCGUGGGGAGCAAACAGGAUUAGAUACCCUUGUAGUC